UACGUAGGGUGCAAGCGUUGUCCGGAAUUACUGGGCGUAAAGCGCACGUAGGCGGCUUUCUAAGUCGGGGGCUCAACCCUCGAAUGCCGGUGGAUACUGUCGGGCUAGAGUGCGGGAGAGGCGAGUGGAAUUCCUGGUGAUAGCGGUGAAAUGCGCAGAUAUCUGGAGGAACACCGGUGGCGAAGGCGGCAUCCUGGACCGGCAUUGACGGCUGAGGAGCGAAAAGCCAGGGGGAGCAAACGGG
rnacentral:rRNA from 1 species